rnacentral:rRNA from 1 species
AUACGUAGGGGGCGAGCGUUAUCCGGAAUUAUUGGGCGUAAAGAGUGCGUAGGUGGCUCUUUAAGCGCAGGGUUUAAGGCUACGGCUUAACUGUAGUUCGCCCUGCGAACUGAAGGGCUUGAGUGCAGGAGGGGAAAGCGGAAUUCCUAGUGUAGCGGUGAAAUGCGUAGAUAUUAGGAGGAACACCAGUGGCGAAGGCGGCUUUCUGGACUGAAACUGACACUGAGGCACGAAAGCGUGGGGAGCAAACAGGAUUAGAUACCCUGGUAGUCCACGCCGUAAACGAUGAGCACUAGGUGUCGGGCCGUAAAGGCUCGGUGCCGGAGUUAACGCAAUAAGUGCUCCGCCUGGGGAGUACGCACGCAAGUGUAAAACUCAAAGGAAUUGACGGGG